rnacentral:piRNA from 1 species
UGCAUUUUCGUAUUUCACCUAUUUUUCAGU